GAUGAACGCUGGCGGCGUGCUUAACACAUGCAAGUCGAACGAGAACGGAUUAUAGCUUGCUAUAAUUGUCAGCUAAGUGGCGCACGGGUGAGUAAUGUAUAGGUAAUAUGCCUUUUACUAAGGAAUAACAAAUGGAAACGUUUGCUAAUACCUUAUACUCCUUAUUAACCUAAGUUAAUAAGGGAAAGAUUUAUUGGUAAGAGAUUAGCCUGUAUUGUAUCAGUUAGUUGGUGGGGUAAUGGCUUACCAAGACUAUGACACAUAACUGGUUUGAGAGGAUGAUCAGUCACACUGGAACUGAGACACGGUCCAGACUCCUACGGGAGGCAGCAGUGGGGAAUAUUGCACAAUGGACGGAAGUCUGAUGCAGCAACGCCGCGUGGAGGAUGACACAUUUCGGUGCGUAAACUCCUUUUAUAUGAGAAGAUAAUGGCGGUAUUAUAUGAAUAAGCACCGGCUAACUCCGUGCCAGCCGCCGCAGUAA
rnacentral:rRNA from 1 species